rnacentral:lncRNA from 1 species
AUGGGGCAGCUCUCAGCUCCUGCCCAGGAGCACGAGGAGAUCAGGAGCACGAUGACUUCUUUUUUUUUUUUUUUAACUUCUCCAUAUAAACCAAUAUUUACCAGUAAUCCUGUGUUUCUGUUUUUGUUUUUUGGCAGACUUUUACCAGUAAAUAUCGGUUUAUUCCUGAAACCAGAAGCCCUAAACAUACCUUUGUUUAUAAGUUUUCCUGCUCUGCAUCUCUGGGAACUGGAGCCUGCAGGACCUAGAGCCUUCUGUUGCCUGGGUGGUUCUGAUUGCUGGCAGUUCUGUAAUACAACUUUAAUCUGA